rnacentral:lncRNA from 1 species
UAAAUUUAUUUCUGUGCCACCACGGUGAGUAAUCUUUAUGGAUUGCCACAAAGUUAUUCACAUGGGGCUUAAUAUUUUGGAAAGCUAUGCAUGAUAAAUUUUUAUUUUCUUUUUCUAAUGCAAAUGGGUGUUGAAAUAAAUGAGUAUAACCAUAAGGAAAUUAAAUAUGCUCUAAGGGAAAUUGAUGCAGUACUAAAAAGGGAAAUAUGGAUAAUUACCAAAUGUACCUUUUGGCGAGGG